rnacentral:rRNA from 1 species
ACGUACGCUGGCGGCACGCCUAACACAUGCAAGUCGAACGAAGUAGCAAUACUUAGUGGCAGACGGGUGAGUAACAUGUAGGUAUCUGCCCUUUGGCCUGGAAUAACACGAGGAAACUUGUGCUAAUACCGGAUAAGUCUUUACGGAGAAAGCUUUAUGCACCAUUGGAUGAGCCUGCACUUGAUUAGUUUGUUGGUGGGGUAAUGGCCUACCAAGACUGUGAUCAAUAGCUGAUUUGAGAGGAUGAUCAGCCACAUUGGGACUGAGACACGGCCCAAACUCCUACGGGAGGCAGCAGUGGGGAAUCUUGCACAAUGGAGGAAACUCUGAUGCAGCGAUGCCGCGUGAGUGAAGAAGGCCUUUGGGUUGUAAAGCUCUUUCGUCGGGGAAGAAAAUGACUGUACCCGAAUAAGAAGGUCCGGCUAACUUCGUGCCAGCAGCCGCGGUAAUACGAAGGGACCUAGCGUAGUUCGGAAUUACUGGGCUUAAAGAGUUCGUAGGUGGUUGAAAAAGUCAGUGGUGAAAUCCCAGAGCUUAACUCUGGAACUGCCAUUAAAACUUUUCAGCUAGAGUAUGAUAGAGGAAAGCAGAAUUUCUAGUGUAGAGGUGAAAUUCGUAGAUAUUAGAAAGAAUACCAAUUGCGAAGGCAGCUCUCUGGAUCAUUACUGA